UACGGGGGGAGCAAGCGUUGUUCGGAUUUACUGGGCGUAAAGGGCGCGUAGGCGGUCGUGACAAGUCACUUGUGAAAUCUCCGGGCUUAACUCGGAACGGUCAAGUGAUACUGUCGGACUAGAGUACAGAAGGGGCAACUGGAAUUCUCGGUGUAGCGGUGAAAUGCGUAGAUAUCGAGAGGAACACCUGCGGCGAAGGCGGCCACCUGGACAGUCACUGACACUGAGACGCGAAAGCGUGGGUAGCAAACAGG
rnacentral:rRNA from 1 species